rnacentral:rRNA from 1 species
UACAGAGGGUGCAAGCGUUAAUCGGAAUUACUGGGCGUAAAGGGCGCGUAGGCGGCCAGCACAAGUCAGUUGUGAAAUCUCCGAGCUUAACUCGGAACGGUCAACUGAUACUGUGCGGCUAGAGUGCGGAAGGGGCAACUGGAAUUCUUGGUGUAGCGGUGAAAUGCGUAGAUAUCAAGAGGAACACCUGCGGCGAAGGCGGGUUGCUGGGCCGACACUGACGCUGAGGCGCGAAAGCCAGGGGAGCGAACGGG